AUGAGGGCGACCGAGUGUGGGGAGGAAGCGUCUAGCGAAUCUGCGAGCCGAUGAAUAAAAACCGGAUAUAAGGCGUUGCCAAGCAGGGCGAGCGGGCCUCGAACCGCGAAGCUCUUGUGAUCAAGGCGAAGCGGCGUAAAUUCGGCGGUUAUGCAGAGAAGGAGUAGGUUC
rnacentral:ncRNA from 1 species